AUACGGAGGGUGCAAGCGUUGUUCGGAAUUAUUGGGCGUAAAGCGCGUGUAGGCGGUUGUUUAAGUCUGAUGUGAAAGCCCUGGGCUCAACCUGGGAAGUGCAUUGGAAACUGGGCAACUUGAGUACGGGAGAGGGUAGUGGAAUUCCGAGCGUAGGGGUGAAAUCCGUAGAUAUUAGGAGGGACACCGGUGGCGAAGGCGGCUACCUGGACCGAUAUUGACGCUGAGACGCGAAAGCGUGGGGAGC
rnacentral:rRNA from 1 species